rnacentral:rRNA from 1 species
CCGGAGCUAACGCGUUAAGUCGACCGCCUGGGGAGUACGGCCGCAAGGUUAAAACUCAAAUGAAUUGACGGGGGCCCGCACAAGCGGUGGAGCAUGUGGUUUAAUUCGAUGCAACGCGAAGAACCUUACCUGGUCUUGACAUCCACGGAAGUUUUCAGAGAUGAGAAUGUGCCUUCGGGAACCGUGAGACAGGUGCUGCAUGGCUGUCGUCAGCUCGUGUUGUGAAAUGUUGGGUUAAGUCCCGCAACGAGCGCAACCCUUAUCCUUUGUUGCCAGCGGUCCGGCCGGGAACUCAAAGGAGACUGCCAGUGAUAAACUGGAGGAAGGUGGGGAUGACGUCAAGUCAUCAUGGCCCUUACGACCAGGGCUACACACGUGCUACAAUGGCGCAUACAAAGAGAAGCGACCUCGCGAGAGCAAGCGGACCUCAUAAAGUGCGUCGUAGUCCGGAUUGGAGUCUGCAACUCGACUCCAUGAAGUCGGAAUCGCUAGUAAUCGUGGAUCAGAAUGCCACGGUGAAUACGUUCCCGGGCCUUGUACACACCGCCCGUCACACCAUGGGAGUGGGUUGCAAAAGAAGUAGGUAGCUUAACCUUCGGGAGGGCGCUUACCACUUUGUGAUUCAUGACUGGGGUGAAGUCGUAACAAGGUAACCGUAGGGGAACCUGCGGUUGGAUCACCUCCUU